UACGUAGGGUGCGAGCGUUGUCCGGAAUUACUGGGCGUAAAGAGCUCGUAGGUGGUUUGUCGCGUUGUUCGUGAAAACUCACAGCUUAACUGUGGGCGUGCGGGCGAUACGGGCAGACUGGAGUACUGCAGGGGGAGACUGAAUUCCUGGAUGUAGCGGUGAAUGCGCAGAUAUCAGGAGGAACACCGGUGGCGAAGGCGGGUCUCUGGGCCGAUACUGACGCUGAGGAGCGAAAGCAUGGGUAGCGAACAGG
rnacentral:rRNA from 1 species